AGUAACGGCGAGCGAACGGGGAAGAGCUCAUAGCCGAAUCCGGCGCCUGGGGGCGUCGGAAAUGUGGCGUAUGGGAGGCGGAGUCCUCCGAGUGCGACCGGCGGUACAAGUCCCCAUGAGAGGGGCAUGCUUCCCGGAGCGGGUGCUAGGCCCGUACCGCCGCCGGUCCGCGCGCGGAGUUGCCGUUCUCCCGGGAGUCGGGUUGCUUGGGAGUGCAGCCCUAAGUGGGUGGUAAACUCCACCUAAAGCUAAAUAAGACCGAGAGACCGAUAGCGAACAAGUACCGUGAGGGAAAGUUGAAAAGCACUUUGAAGAGAGAGUUCAAGAGUACGUGAAACCGUUCAGAGGUAAACGGGUGGGACCUCGAAGUCCGAAGGCGGUGGUGGAUUCAGUCGGAACCUCUAUCCGCCCUCCAUCGGGUUACCUCGCGACGAGGCCCCUGUUGGAGGGAGAGAGGGUUUGGGUCCCGGCGCACUUCCACGCCCCGUCCAGUAGGGCGUCGCGACCGGUUGGAAGGCCGUUGUAAGGGCGGACGCGAAAGGUGGCCGCAUUUCUCUCGGGAUCUGCGGUGUUACAGGCGGUCCAGCUCCGACGGGUCGUCCGACCGGGGUCGAGUUCAUCUCUGUUGCGUUCCCUUCCUGACGGAAGCGGCGCCCGGGUUGAGCCUUCGGCGGAACGGCGUGCCACCAGCAAAGGUGAGCGCCUUCCGAAGGGGGUUUCGAUCCCGAGGCGCCGCGGGGGAGCCGGAGGUCGCGGCGAGUAGGUCGGUUACCCACCCGACCCGUCUUGAAACACGGACCAAGGAGUCUAAAGCGUGUGCGAGUUCCCGGGACUUGAAUAGGCCCGAAAGCGCAAUGAAAGUGAAGGGCGACUUAACGUCGUCCGAGUUGGGAUCCGUUCCUAAUUUAUUAGGGGCGGCGCACCAACGGCCCGUCCUACGCCGGUCUCGGCGGGGCGGAGCUAGAGCAUACGCUCUGGGACCCGAAAGAUGGUGAACUAUGCCUGGGCAGGACGAGGCCAGAGGAAACUCUGGUGGAGGUCCGUAGCGAUUCUGACGUGCAAAUCGAUCGUCAGACCUUGGUAUA
rnacentral:rRNA from 1 species